UAUUGAGGAUGUCAGAAAAUUUGGCUGCUGGAAGGGUUGAUGAAAAGGAAACUUCCCCGUGCAGAAGGAUGCACACCUGCUUAGAAAUUCGCUGGAGCCAACUCCAGUAUUCACUCAUUUCCAUAACGCCAGUCAAACAUCUUCUCAGGAAAACCUGUCUUGGACUCAGCAAAAAGGGGGAGAGAAUCCAGGAGAGGAGCUAGCUAACUUGCUAGGACACCCCAUACAUUUCAUUCAGAAUCCUGCUUUGGUACCACUGUAUCUGACAAGGCCUGAGA